UACGUAGGGUGCAAGCGUUGUCCGGAUUUAUUGGGCGUAAAGAGCUCGUAGGCGGCUUGGCAAGUCGGGUGUGAAAACUUCAGGCUCAACCUGGAGAUGCCGACCCGAGACUGCUAUGGCUUGAGUCCGGUAGGGGACCACGGAAUUCCUGGGUGUAGCGGUGAAAUGCGCAGAUAUCAGGAGGAACACCGGUGGCGAAGGCGGUGGUCUGGGCCGGCACUGACGCUGAGGAGCGAAAGCGUGGGUAGCAAACAGG
rnacentral:rRNA from 1 species